AGUUAGACACUGCCUGGUCAGGUUACUCAUUAUGUACCUUGUUCCCUUAGGCUCUUUUUCAAGCUCUGGAGAACAGAGAAGGAAAAUGUUAUGCCCACUCUGUGGAACAUUUCAGUACAGUACCACCUUUUUUUUUUUUUUUCAUUAAAGUCAAAAUGCAAAAUGCCUUUCCCCCCCUCCUUCUCAUCUUAGGGCCAGCUCAGACAGCAGACAUUGGUUUAGAGAGAAGAGACUGCACUUCUGGUGAAAGAAAAGAAGUGCAAAAGUUCACUUGGUCAAACUAAGCGCGGAGAAAAAUCAAGUCCAAAGCACAAGUCUGCCAGGAGAACUUAAAAGUAAAUCUUAGAAGCUCUCAAGCAGCACAUGAAACAGCAGGAAAAAAGUCAACAAUUAAAUUCAAUCUGUGAUCCAUCAGCAGCAGAGGAGGAGAGAAGGUGGUGUUGGACAGACCAAAAAACUACCAGUGUUUCUCAUCCACUUAGAAUUUCAACAGUCAACCAAAAACAAUGGGGAGAAAGGUGCACCAAGUACAAGAUACAGUUGUUCAAAAGAAGACCUGGAAAAUCAAGUUGCUAGCAAUAAUCCUGCUGUGAAAAUAGAUCUGUAAAAGCAAGUGGGGGACAGUUCCAGAGGAAAUCAAGGCUUAGAAUAUAAAGACAGGCAGGGAAAAAGCCAAGCAAGGAAGGAGACAAACUGGAGGAGGUUCUGAAUCACAUAAGCUACCACUUGAAUUCUUGCUAUUGACACAACCCUCAUUCAUCUCUCUUGAGCCUGAUCCAAAGAUCACAUGGUAGGGGCACUUCAGUUCAGCAUCUGGAAUCCCUAAUUACAUUCUUGGUUUCAAAUAUGCUUGCCUACUGCCAGCUCCUCACUGUUAAAGGACCUGGGUCCAACCACCACCCAGCAUCCCACAGGGCUGCCAUCAGUUUUCCACAACAUUGUCUUGAACUAAGUCACAUGUCACUUAAGGCAGAAACCAAUUUAAAAUAGAAACACAUAUAAAUACAUAAAAAUACACAGACAAUCCUACUAGCCAGUAUGUUUACAAUUUUCCUAGUAUUAUUGGAUAACUCAGGCUUGAAGAGACCUCAGGAGGUUUCUAGUCUAAGUUUCUGCAAUUACAGUAACCUACAGCACCUCAGCUCAAGGAGCUAUAGGAAUCCCUACUGAAUUAGCAGAGGUAGUUGUGAAGGUAUGUGCCCUACCAGAGAGAUGAUACAUUAAUUUCAAGUGGAUCAGGAACACACACUAGACACACUUUCAUCCAGACCUUGGACAAAACUAAUGGCUGAGAUCUAAAUCAGAUUAAACACUGUUGUCUUCAUUAAUAGUGUAAUUAUAAUUUCAAAUAGGCAACUCCAUUUUUCCCAAUAUUUUAAUUCCAGGAUAGCACACAAUAUCAGAAAGCAGUCUUAUUCUUUACAAAAAUUCAGUUGUAAAACUCUUCCAUUCAUAUACAGAAGUUCGGGCACUUUCCCUCAUGCACAGUUAGAAAAUUGCCCAGACAGCAUCUGAAAAGGAGUCCACAAAAUGUUAACAUUAUUUCUGGGUAUUUCUGUAUCCAUGUAUACAAAUACAAAAAACCAUCAGCGAAUUUACUUCAAGAUAUCACCGCACUUUUCUUCUGUUUGCUUUUUUACAUCAAGUGACAACAAUGUCUAUGUCCCAAGUCUCAAAAUGAGGAAAGUAACACUUUUAUAAAAAGCAGGUAAUGUAAAGAUAUGGAAGUAAUACUCAGCCAAAUAUCAUAAGCUAACACAAGUGUGCAGUGUAAAUUUAGGAAUGUGCCACAAACACGUGAAAUACUCAACAAUAUUAAAUCUGGCACAUCAGAAAUUUCCCAUAUACAUAGUUUACUUGUCAAGUCUCAAGUCUAGCAGGCAAGAAUAAACUAAAUCACAACUGUAACACAAGCUAUGCAAGAGUGGGGAAAAAAACCCACCCAGAACUCUACAGCUUAAAAAUCUUUGAUUAAACAACCUGUUACUUCUUUCUGGAUAAAAUAAAAAUACUUUCAUACUUCAAGGCACAAAAAUAAUCCUAUAGACAGUGAAUCUGAGGUGUUUCUUCCUGCCAACACCCUACUUUAUAAUUGUCUGUCAUUACUUUAUCAUCUUCUUUAAGCCACCACGUAACAAGUCCAUCCAAAUAUUAAAAUCUGUGAGAGGGAUAAAGGAGCAAGAAAGGCAGGAAAAAAAUUAAACCUAGCACUACAUGUUUAGCAUAAAAUUAAGUCUCUUUAUUUAAAGGCAUCUUUACAGAGCUGCUUAGUUGUUUACUGCUCUGAAAACAGCACGUGAAGCAACAGAUCUAUUAUUUUAUCUGAAAUACCCUAAACAACCUUCAAAAUAUCUUCACUGAAUAUAAGGCUAAAGAAUGCUGCGGUAUCCUUAGUCCUCCAGUACUAUUUUAAGAGACAAACACUUCCCUAUAAUUGCAGUUCAGACUCCCAAAGAGUCUUUUUUUUUUUUUUCCUCUUUAAGAAUGUCCAUUUGUGGCUAUCAAUAAGCAUCAUAAAAACACAAGACAUUCACGGGCUAUUUUAACCAAAUAGACGUCAAAUUGUUUCCAGCUCCCACAGUCUCAUUACACAUUUAGGAUUUGGAUGCCUCUGCAAGACUUAAAUGGGUACUGAAUGAAGACAGCGUCCCACAACCCGUUUAUCCCAAAAUCUGGUAGUUCUAUUUCCAGCAAGGAAGGGUGAUGGGUGCCGGUGGUGUGAGUUCACUGUGAGCCCCCGCGGGCCCGAGCACCACUAGAGGCCCUCGCAGCAGCUCCAUUUCCUGCGCUCUGCUUUUAACUCUGCCUUAAAAACACACCCAGGGUCACUCAGCUGCCUCACAGGUUGGAGCUGCAGGCACCUGCACACUUUGAUUUUUGUCAGGUACUGCUUCAUCAAGUUUCAGUUGAAAGAAUAGGUAAAUAGGGGGUGAUUUUUUUUCCUUUUUACAAAUUAUUUGUACUCCUGUAACACCCAAACCCUCCCAAAAAGAGAUGUAUUAAUUAGUACUUUGAACUUUACAAACCCCCCCAUGCUAAAUGGAAGGUAGCUGGAGAGAAAAUAGAAAAACUUUGAGAAGUG